UAAUACCGGCGGCUCGAGUGGUGGCCACUAUUACUGGGCUUAAAGCGUCCGUAGCUUGGUUGUUAAGUCUCCUGGGAAAUCCAUCGGCUCAACCGAUGGGCGUUCAGGAGAUACUGGCAACCUAGGGACCGGGAGAGGUGAGAGGUACUCCAGGGGUAGGAGUGAAAUCCUGUAAUCCUUGGGGGACCACCUGUGGCGAAGGCGUCUCACUAGAACGGCUCCGACAGUGAGGGACGAAAGCUGGGGGAGCAAACCGGAUUAGAUACCCGGGUAGUCCCAGCUGUAAACGAUGCGCGUUAGGUGUAUCGGUGACCACGAGUCACCGAGGUGCCGAAGGGAAACCGUGAAACGUGCCGCCUGGGAAGUACGGUCGCAAGGCUGAAACUUAAAUGAAUUGACGG
rnacentral:rRNA from 1 species